rnacentral:lncRNA from 1 species
GUUAGAAGGAUUACUUUAUCCUAUCCCAGGUAUUCCUUAAAGAGGUGGGGUUUCAGGUGUCUCCGGAAGGUGGUGAUUGACUCCGCUGUCCUGGCGUCGUGAGGGAGCUUGUUCCACCAUUGGGGUGCCAGAGCAGCGAACAGUUUUGACUGGGCUGAGCGGGAACUCUGCUUCCGCAGAGGUAGGGAGGCGAGCAGGCCAGAGGUGGAUGAGCGCAGUGCCCUUGUUUGGGUGUAGGGCCUGAUCAGAGCCUGAAGGUACGGAGGUGCCGUUCCCCUCACAGCUCCGUAGGCAAGCACCAUGGUCUUGUAGCGGAUGCGAGCUUCAACAGGAAGCCAGUGGAGUGUGCGGAGGAGCGGGGUGACGUGAGAGAACUUGGGAAGGUUGAACACCAGACGGGCUGCGGCGUUCUGGAUGAGUUGUAGGGGUUUAAUGGCACAGGCAGGGAGCCCCGCCAACAGGGAGUUGCAGUAAUCCAGACGGGAGACGACAAGUGCCUGGAUUAGGACCUGCGCCGCUUCCUGUGUGAGGCAGGGUCAAGCCACUCAAACCAUGCCCUGUUCUCCCCACUUCCGUCACGCAGACACGGGCAGUGACCGUGAACUCUCCCUGACCUGCUGCACUGUAGUACUCAAGCGCUGUACCACCCACUGGAGGGCAACUAUUAUCGCCAACAGUUCAACUGAGUACACUGACAGUUCAUCUUCUACAUAUCUGCACAUCACAUUCAGGAAGGUUAGAUCAACAACAGGAUCUGGGAGUAACCAUGGAGGAGCAUCCGCUAUCACCACAGAAGGGCCAACCUUCAACUCCCUCAAACCACUCUCAUCAGCAAGCUUUCCAACUGUCCAACCAAAACCACUACCUUGUCUACUAGUAUAUUCCCAAUAGCCAUCUAGAACAGUAAAUCAAAUCAAAUAAAAUAAAAUGUAUUUAUAUAGCCCUUCGUACAUCAGCUGAUAUCUCAAAGUGCUGUACAGAAACCCAGCCUAAAACCCCAAACAGCAAGCAAUGCAUGUGAAAGAAGCACGGUGGCUAGGAAAAACUCCCUAGGAAAAACUCCCUAGAAAGGCCAAAAACUUAGGAAGAAACCUAGAGAGGAACCAGGCUAUGAGGGGUGGCCAGUCCUCUUCUGGCUGUGCCGGGUGGAUAUUAUAACAGAACAUGGUCAAGAUAGUAGCAGUGGGUUGCUCAACCUCACAGCCUUUCAACCUAACCCAGUAAGCUAAUGACCAUUUUUUUACACCGUAUAAUCAAAGGCAUCUCACCUGCCUUCACUAGUAAAGUACAGAUGAUGAUUUAAAUGCACUGUCAUGGAAAUUCUUACACAGGGACACACAAAGCCAAUCUUAAAUGAACCAUUGUUUGUCAGCUCGCUGGAGAGGUUCCAACAAACUCAAAGCACCAGGUAGUCCCGUUAGUGAGGAGCUCUACCGGGGCAGUCCCGUUAGUGAGGAGCUCUACCGGGGCAGUCCCGUUAGUGAGGAGCUCUACCGGGGCAGUCCCGUUAGUGAGAAGCUCUACCGGGGCAGUCUCCUUAGUGAGGAGCUCUACCGGGGCAGUCCCGUUAGUGAGAAGCUCUACCGGGGCAGUCCCGUUAGUGAGAAGCUCUACCGGGGCAGUCUCCUUAGUGAGGAGCUCUACCGGGGCAGUCCCGUUAGUGAGGAGCUCUACCGGGGCAGUCUCCUUAGUGAGGAGCUCUACCGGGGCAGUCCCGUUAGUGAAGAGCUCUACUGGGGCAGUCCCGUUAGUGAGGAGCUCUACCGGGGCAGUCUCCUUAGUUCCCUUAUAUACUGACAAGUUAUAUUUGCAUGAUUUAGCUUAUACAUCAUUCAUAACUAAUGUUUCCUUCAUUCAUGUGACGACCAAUACUGUUUCAUAACAUGUGACAGACCAAUACCUCACGAUGCUUCUCUCUAAACUGAGACCUUGAAACUGAGAUAAUCUCUAAACAAGGUUCUGGGCGUACUGCCAAAUUGCAGAUACUGAUAGGGAGGAUUUUGGUCCAAUCAGUCACUUGCAUUAACACAGAAAUUGGUUAUUAGAAAAGCACAAACAUAAAAAUGUCCACAUUCCAUCCUUUUAUCACUUUUAGAUUUUUAGCUUCUAUAUCAUCAUAUUCUAUACUCCUAUUAAAGUAAGGGUGAUUUCUAGCUUCUAUAUCAUCAUAUUCUAUACUCCUAUUAAAGUAAGGGAAAACCACACAGAGAAAAAAAAAUAGCCACUUCAUAAUUUCAAGCCCUUCAUUCUGGGUAGCAUGAGUAAUACUAUAAUUAUAAUAAAGGUCCUAUUCACGGGAAUUCAUCAACACACACAACAUGUUACAUUUCCAUCAUUUAGACAAAUGAAGAAAAAAAACAGCCCAUUUGGCAAUUUAGCAUCCCCAACUUCCAAACAGGGACUCCAACUAAAUUGCAGGUGUUGUGGGGGAUUAUUUUUUUAGCAACAGUUGUAAUGUAUUGGGCGAGAUCAGUUAUAUAAGAAGAGAGAUCUGAGACUAAAGUACAACAUUCAUCAUCAAUGAUUGAACAAGUGGCCCCCUUGGACCUGCCGAAAAGAUAGUGAAGAGCCUCUCUGUUUUGCAGAGAUAAUUUACACAAUUAUUUGAGCGUUUCCUAUUUUUUUCUGUCUCUAGACAUCUCCUGAAUUCGGGGUCUAGGUCAUAUUGACUUUCACAGUGUUCUAACAGUUUCAGACCAACCUUGAUAAGAAUGAGAUUGGGGGGGGGGUACUGUCACAUCCUGACCAGUAAAAGGGGUUAUUUGUUAUUGUAGUUUGGUCAGGGCGUGGCAAGGGG